UACGGAGGGUGCGAGCGUUGUUCGGAAUUAUUGGGCGUAGAGCGCACGUAGGCGGCUUUUUAAGUCUCACUGUGAAAGCCUGCGGCUCAACCGCAGGAGGCCAGGGGAUACUGGAGAGCUAGAGAUAGGUAGAGGCGAGCGGAAUUCCGGGUGUAGCGGUGGAAUGCGUAGAGAUCCGGAAGAACACCAGAGGCGAAGGCGGCUCGCUGGACCUCAUCUGACGCUGAGGUGCGAAAGCGUGGGGAGCAAACAGG
rnacentral:rRNA from 1 species